AGUGAACGCUGGCGGUAGGCCUAACACAUGCAAGUCGAACGGCAGCACAGAGGAGCUUGCUCCUUGGGUGGCGAGUGGCGGACGGGUGAGGAAUACAUCGGAAUCUACUCUGUCGUGGGGAUAACGUAGGGAAACUUACGCUAAUACCGCAUACGACCUACGGGUGAAAGCAGGGGAUCUUCGGACCUUGCGCGAUUGAAUGAGCCGAUGUCGGAUUAGCUAGUUGGCGGGGUAAAGGCCCACCAAGGCGACGAUCCGUAGCUGGUCUGAGAGGAUGAUCAGCCACACUGGAACUGAGACACGGUCCAGACUCCUACGGGAGGCAGCAGUGGGGAAUAUUGGACAAUGGGCGCAAGCCUGAUCCAGCCAUACCGCGUGGGUGAAGAAGGCCUUCGGGUUGUAAAGCCCUUUUGUUGGGAAAGAAAUCCAUCUGGUUAAUACCCGAGUGGGAUGACGGUACCCAAAGAAUAAGCACCGGCUAACUUCGUGCCAGCCGCCGCAGUAA
rnacentral:rRNA from 1 species